UAAAGCAGCAGCCCAGUGUGACCGCUCCAGCUCCUGCUAUGCAUACCAACAGUGUGUGCAGGCGGAUGCUGUGGAGCAGCGCUGCGAAACACAUCAACGUAAGAAGCCAAAGCAGACUGGUGAGGCUCUUCAGAAGAAGAUUGGAUCUGGAUGCAGAGAAAAGUUUUGAUCACCAGAGACGACCGACAGCCUGCUGCUGUGAGUUCCCCCAGCUGAGACAUGCGGUGAACAUGCUGCCUUUCAAAACAACACGAGGCAAAUGAAAUAUUUGUUUUCAUACAGCACUAGGAACAAGCAAUCAUAAUGCUUUUCAUGUUUUAUUGCUGUAUUUAUUUCUUUUACGUGACAGACCAACACCAGGACUGUGAAUCAAAUCAACACUGAAAAGCAAACAUUCAUUAUUUAUUGUGAAAAAUUUUGAUAAUUUUGAUUUACCAUUGUCAUUAUAGAUUGUAGUAAUUGACGGUAAACAAAACAAAAUUGCGUAUGAUCGGAAAUGUUAUUUUUGAUACUUUCUCCACCGCUUGUUCCACAAGCAAAUCAAUAAAUAUCAGUAAAUUUGAAAAUCUGUUUAGAAUCAGUUACGGUGUGCAGCUUAAUGUUCUAAAUCAUAAUUUAUGAUUUCUUCUGUCAGCAUUAAAUAGAAAUUAUUUAUUCUAAUAGGAUUUAAUCUGCAACAACACCAGAGUAAAUAUUUCUGGAAAGAGGUUCCUUUGUAGAGGGAAAGUCUCUACUGAUCACAGUUGUUGUUGAGACUCCAACACCUCACACUUCAUCAGCUUAACACUAGAGCUGGGAUGAUUCAAGCUCAUUCCCGAUUGUCUUUCUUUUAAAUGUGACCUGUAAUGCUUCCGCAAACAGGUCAGGAAAGGUGUAGGGGCUCUAAAAAACAUUCAUCACGUUUUUUUGCACAAAAUCAUUCCUAGAUAAUGAAAUUUUUGUUUGUUUUGAGCUCCUCUCAUAAUGUUUUAGGGCCUCUGUAUCUUUAAAAGCAAAUAAGUUUUUGCUGGCCAUGCCCCCCCCAACUCAACGUUCACACUUGCACAUGAAAAUGGCUGCAAACAGAUGCUCAAUUAUAUAACCUUACGUCUUUGAAAAGCAGAAGUGAAGCCUCCUGCACAGCCAACAAGAAUGCAGCAAGUGGUUUCUGAAUGGUAAGUCUACACCAAAACACUUGUAUUUUCCAGCAGCCAUUCUACAGUGCAUACAGCAGUACAACAAGCUGACCAAACAUCAGAACCGCUUGGGGCUUUCCUGAGGUUGCUAGGUAACGGGCUGGGCUUUGCCGAGAUUGCUAGGUGACGGGUUAGCAGUGCCUGCUGAUUUGUGACAUUACUAUCCAGAAGGUUUAUGAAACGGCUCAUUUUCCAGACACCAAAUAACAUCAGCUUAUUGCCAAAAAACGGCUGAGUGAUUUUUUUUUAAGCGCUUUGACUAUUUUUACAAAUAGAAACCCAAAUGGAAGUACAAAAAUGUUAAUUUUGCAUAACACGUCCCCUUCAAAGUUUUAGGCAAAAACUGCUGCAAAAAUAUUCCCAUGUAUCUUUGCCAUAAAUUGAAAACAGGCCUGGUGACCAGUCUGACUCCAGAAAACCCCGCUAUAGAA